rnacentral:rRNA from 1 species
GACGAACGCUGGCGGCGUGCUUAACACAUGCAAGUCGAACGGAAAGGCCCUGCGUUUGUGGGGUGCUCGAGUGGCGAACGGGUGAGUAACACGUGAGUAACCUGCCCUUGACUUUGGGAUAACUUCAGGAAACUGGGGCUAAUACCGGAUAGGAGCUCCUGCUGCAUGGUGGGGGUUGGAAAGUUUCGGCCGUUGUGGAUGGACUCGCGGCUUAUCAGCUUGUUGGUGGGGUAGUGGCUUACCAAGGCUUUGACGGGUAGCCGGCCUGGGAGGGUGACCGGCCACAUUGGGACUGAGAUACGGCCCAGACUCCUACGGGAGGCAGCAGUGGGGAAUAUUGCACAAUGGGCGGAAGCCUGAUGCAGCAACGCUGCGUGCGGGAUGCCGGCCUUCGGGUUGUAAACCGCUUUCGCCUGUGACGAAGCGUGAGUGACGGUAAUGGGUAAAGAAGCACCGGCUAACUACGUG